rfam:Rattus norvegicus chromosome 2, whole genome shotgun sequence.
GGGGAUUUAGCUCAGUGGUAGAGCGCUUGCCAAGCAAGUGCAAGGCCCUGGGUUCGGUCCCCAGCUCCG